rnacentral:rRNA from 1 species
AUUGAACGCUGGCGGAAUGCUUUACACAUGCAAGUCGAACGGUAGAGGGGGGCAACCCCUUGAGAGUGGCGAACGGGUGAGUAAUAUAUCGGAACGUGCCCAGUCGUGGGGAUAACGUAGCGAAAGUUACGCUAAUACCGCAUACGAUCUAAGGAUGAAAGCGGGGGACUCGCAAGAGCCUCGCGCGAUUGGAGCGGCCGAUAUCAGAUUAGGUAGUUGGUGGGGUAAAGGCUCACCAAGCCAACGAUCUGUAGCUGGUCUGAGAGGACGACCAGCCACACUGGAACUGAGACACGGUCCAGACUCCUACGGGAGGCAGCAGUGGGGAAUUUUGGACAAUGGACGCAAGUCUGAUCCAGCCAUUCCGCGUGCAGGAUGAAGGCCCUCGGGUUGUAAACUGCUUUUGUACGGAACGAAAGGUUUCUAUUAAUACUAGGUAGCUCAUGACGGUACCGUAAGAAUAAGCACCGGCUAACUACGUGCC